rnacentral:rRNA from 1 species
CACGUAGGGGGCAAGCGUUGUCCGGAUUUAUUGGGCGUAAAGAGCUCGUAGGCGGUUCGGUAAGUCGGGUGUGAAACCUCCAGGCUCAACCUGGAGACGCCACCCGAUACUGCUGUGACUAGAGUCCGGUAGGGGAGCGUGGAAUUCCUGGUGUAGCGGUGAAAUGCGCAGAUAUCAGGAAGAACACCAGCGGCGAAGGCGGCACUCUGGGCCGGAACUGACGCUGAGGAGCGAAAGCGUGGGUAGCAAACAGG